GUCCACGCUGUAAACGAUGAUAACUCGCUGUUGGUGCAUAGCAUCAGUGGCUAAGGGAAACCGAUAAGUUAUCCACCUGGGGAGUACGCCGGCAACGGUGAAACUCAAAGGAAUUGACGGGGUCGCACAAGCGGUGGAGCAUGUGGUUUAAUUCGAUGAUACGCGAGGAACCUUACCUAGGCUAGAAUGUGAGUGAAUAAUUCAGAGAUGAAUUAGUCCGCAAGGACACAAACAAGGUGCUGCAUGGCUGUCGU
rnacentral:rRNA from 1 species